UGGCUCAGGAUGAACGCUAGCGGGAGGCCUAACACAUGCAAGCCGAGCGGUAGAGAUUCUUCGGAAUCUUGAGAGCGGCGCACGGGUGCGGAACACGUGUGCAACCUGCCUUUAUCUGGGGGAUAGCCUUUCGAAAGGAAGAUUAAUACCCCAUAAUAUAAUGGAUGGCAUCAUUUAAAAUUGAAAACUCCGGUGGAUAGAGAUGGGCACGCGCAAGAUUAGAUAGUUGGUGAGGUAACGGCUCACCAAGUCAGUGAUCUUUAGGGGGCCUGAGAGGGUGAUCCCCCACACUGGUACUGAGACACGGACCAGACUCCUACGGGAGGCAGCAGUGAGGAAUAUUGGACAAUGGGUGAGAGCCUGAUCCAGCCAUCCCGCGUGAAGGACGACGGCCCUAUGGGUUGUAAACUUCUUUUGUACAGGGAUAAACCUAUUUACGUGUAAAUAGCUGAAGGUACUGUACGAAUAAGCACCGGCUAACUCCGUGCCAGCAGCCGCGGUAAUACGGAGGGUGCAAGCGUUAUCCGGAUUUAUUGGGUUUAAAGGGUCCGUAGGCGGAUCUGUAAGUCAGUGGUGAAAUCUCAUAGCUUAACUAUGAAACUGCCAUUGAUACUGCAGGUCUUGAGUAAGGUAGAAGUAGCUGGAAAAGUAGUGUAGCGGUGAAAUGCAUAGAUAUUACUUAGAACACCAAUUGCGAAGGCAGGUUACUAUGUCUUAACUGACGCUGAUGGACGAAAGCGUGGGGAGCGAACAGGAUUAGAUACCCUGGUAGUCCACGCCGUAAACGAUGCUAACUCGUUUUUGGGCUUUCGGGUUCAGAGACUAAGCGAAAGUGAUAAGUUAGCCACCUGGGGAGUACGAACGCAAGUUUGAAACUCAAAGGAAUUGACGGGGGCCCGCACAAGCGGUGGAUUAUGUGGUUUAAUUCGAUGAUACGCGAGGAACCUUACCAAGACUUAAAUGGGAAUUGAUCGGUUUAGAAAUAGACCUUCCUUCGGGCAAUUUUCAAGGUGCUGCAUGGUUGUCGUCAGCUCGUGCCGUGAGGUGUUAGGUUAAGUCCUGCAACGAGCGCAACCCCUGUCACUAGUUGCCAUCAUUAAGUUGGGGACUCUAGUGAGACUGCCUACGCAAGUAGAGAGGAAGGUGGGGAUGACGUCAAAUCAUCACGGCCCUUACGUCUUGGGCCACACACGUAAUACAAUGGCCGGUACAGAGGGCAGCUACACAGCGAUGUGAUGCAAAUCUCGAAAGCCGGUCUCAGUUCGGAUUGGAGUCUGCAACUCGACUCUAUGAAGCUGGAAUCGCUAGUAAUCGCGCAUCAGCCAUGGCGCGGUGAAUACGUUCCCGGGCCUUGUACACACCGCCCGUCAAGCCAUGGAAGUCUGGGGUACCUGAAGUCGGUGACC
rnacentral:rRNA from 1 species